GCGCUGCAACAGCAGCGGCUCUUUGAGACCCUUGGCCUGAAUGAGAUUGUGUCUGUGUGCUGCUGGGUUUUGUCGAUGUAUUAAUGGCAGAGGACAAGGCAGCCAUUGCUGAAGCACUCUAAGUAUGCUCGCUGUCACCUGAGCUUGUGCACCUCCCAUCUGCCUGAAAAAAAAACCCACAUGACCUGGUGGUUAGCUGCUAAGAAAAAUUGAGAAGGGAGUUGUUACUGUUUUUUGAAACCGAGGGAAGGCAACUAUUUAGCAGUACUUGUUUUCCUUCAUAUGAUGGAUUUAGUGCAGAUGAAAGAGCUGCCAAUAGAGAUGAAAACGGUCGAAAAUGAUCGAAAAAACACUCGUAUUGAUUUUGGUUUCGUUUUAUAACAACGGUACGAAAACGAAAAUGUUACGGUCGAUAUACGGGAUCGAAAUUUCCGGUCAUUCGAAAACAGAAAAGUCGAAACGAAAAUAUGUCGAAAACGAUCGAAAUAUGAUAAACUUGUCGGUAAUUGACAAAACAAACAACAGACUGAAUUACUGAAUCCAAACAUUAAUAUAUAUAUAUAUAUAUAUAUAUAUAUAUAUAUAUUAAUUUCACAGUAGUCAAACAUUAAACCGUAGUGACAUUAUUUGAAUGGAAAAUUAUAUAUAUACUCGUGUCUGUAUGUCACACUCACAUACACGCAUACUGGUCGGUGGUGUAUUGGGUUGGUUGUAGGCUUUUGCUUUGGGGUGGGCUGCACGUUGGAGCUGAGGCCCGAGGCUAAUGUAUGGACUGGGGCAUUGGGAGUGGGAAGGCUAAAGACCGCUCAACCGCUCAAGGCUGCAGGUUGGGCUCAAAACCGGAUUGCUAAAAUGGUAUGAAAAACGAUACUUUCCCAAAACAAAACGGUAACCGUAAAAAUGAACGAAAAAUCAGUUAAAUCUUUUUCAAUACCGUUCUCAAAUACAAUCUGCUCGUUUUCGUUCCGAAACCGAAAAAUACCCAAAGUAAACGAAAACGGUCAGAAAAAAUGGUAUUCGGAAUAGGACGGGAUGAGAUUUUCUCAUACCGUUUUCAUCCCUAGCUGCCCAGGCUGAUGCCGUCGAGUAGGGAUGAAAGCGGUAAUCUGAACUGUUAGAACAAAUUUAAUAUUUUAAAAUAGAUAUGCAUAAAAUUUAUGUUGAUCUUUUCUUAUGUUAUUAAACACAUUAAUACACAUAUGAAUAAAAUAUUACACAAAUUGUUUUAUGUAUUAUUUGCUCCCUACAACACGAAACGUUGAAAAAGUUACCGAAUUUAUUUCUGAAUCCAUACCGAAGUUUAUAUCUAUUAUUUGAGAAAAUAUAGGAUGAAUUUGAGAUUUACCUUUUAUGAAUCUUUACAAGGUGGAUGUUAAAAAUAAGAAUACAAAUUUGUAUUGUAGAUUAUAUAUCCUAUUUAUUCGCAAUCAAUGAAAACGACUAAAAAACUGAUUACCGAAUAAAUAUCGUUUCCGACCGUUUUCAUCCCUACGUCGAGGGAAGGCGAGAAGAGGAAGUAGGGUUUGCUGGCUUCUCGGCGUUUCUACUUUUUCCAUGCAGAGUGAGGAUGGGAGGGAGUAGACUCAACGACAUGGGAGGGAGCAGACUUAACCCGAUUUGAUAGAAACCCGAUACAAACCCUCAGGUCCGUGACGCUGGCUUCUUCCCUGCCAUGCGUCAGCACCAACAUGAAGGGUUAGUUUUGUAGACACAAAACCGAAGUGGAUUGGAGGGGCUAAAAUCCCCCUCCUUAUUCAAUUUUGAAUAAGGAGACGAUUUUAGCUCCUCUAAUCCUCUCCAGUUUUUAGACUCUCAAACUAGUCCAAGAGAAGGUCAUGAAGCGCCGAAAGUCCUCCAACCCCCCCGCGACUUUUAAUAAACGGGAAUACUCAACACGCAGACAUCGUCAGUUAAUGUAAAGGUUGUUUGUUUCAUUGCAGGAUUAUAUAAUCCAAUUUAUAUGAUCGUAUUAGAGAUGUUUGUUUACACAUACUAUUAGUGUGUAAAAUGCUAAACAAUAAUCGAAAAUAAACAUCUAACAGUUUGCUUAUGCAUUAUCAUAAACUAGGUAUCUAUAAUUAUAUAAUGCACUUUGAUAUGGGUUGUUUGUUUCAGUGGCGGACGCAGAAUAAAAUUCUAGGUGGGGCCGACAGUACAAGAGACAAAUCACUAGACUAGAUCACCUGAUAAAUGUAGAUUAAUGAUAAUAACAUGAAUGUUAAAUGAUAAUGUCUAGUGUUUCCAAAAUAAUAUGAAUACCAAAAAACCAUUUUGGCUACCUAAAGGAGAGCUAGAGAGAGAAAAUAGGUGGACUGGCUGAGGACGAGGCGUUGAGACGGAACGUCGGAGCAGCUGCAUCGGCGUGUCGUUGUGGCGAGUCAUCGAAUUUGACGUGAGAUGACGUCGGUGAGACGACGACGGGUGGGAGGAGCGAGUGCAGGAGGCGAGGUAGCGGCGGAUGACGGUAACGACAAGCGACAACCAUUGUCGUGUUGCGACGGCGCGGUGGGACCCUAAUAAGUUAGCAAUGUUAGGUGACGCCACGGUCCCACCAACAGCUUGCACAUCUGCUGGUGCGGACUAGGAGGCAAAGUAUGAGCGUUGUGUGCAGGAUCCUGAUGAGGCGACGAGUUGAUGAGUGAUGAGAAGGCAAGGUGGCGCUACAGUGGGCGGGUUAGGUCACCAACUUAAUGGUUGUCACACCCGGUUUCGGGGCACCAAGACCCGGGCGCGAACAUAAUCACCAGGUGUGCUGGGACCAGGUCUCACACAUAUGAUGAAUCAUGGCACAAGAUCGAAUGUCACAACUUUACUAUAUAAUAGGAAUUCUAUACAAAAUAAAUAAUUGCAUAUAAGGAGACAACGGUCCAGCAACCCAAAGUUGACUGGGAGACGACGACCUAGACCUCUCACGAACACAUCACAGCAUCCUCCAAGCGCCUCAUCCAGCGGUACCUGUUCUUGACCUGUGGGGGGUGUGAGACAGCAAGAGUGAGCUCACAUACGUUCAUCGCUCAACAAGUUGUGGGGAAUAAUGUGCAUGAACUCGCCAAAGGUGGGAGCUCACGUGAAGUGUAAGGCUUACCAAAGAGGAUGGUUAGAGCUGAGCAUUGCUUUUAAAGUUGGUCAAAAUUUUAUUAGCAAUUACUAAGUAUAAGUAAAUACCAACCCAAUUAAGUAGUAGAACAAAAGUAACAACAUCACCUGCGAUGCAAUGCAUAUGACAAAUUGAAUUUAAGUUUCAUAAUUUAAUCAUCAGAGAGUCCUGAGCUGCUCAUGACCGUGAGCUCGGCUAGUAUACCAGUUUUACACUCUGCAGAGGUGGUACCCUUUACCCACAAGUCAUGUUACCCAUCUGCCAAGGGAUCGCGACUUCCCAUACACCUCUACCGAGGAGACGAGGCAGGGUAACACUACGAGGCCUUUACAAAGUUCCACUAGCUUCAGAAAACCCGCUACAGUUUAUAGGAAGCUCCAAUGCAGGGUUCUUGCCCGACCGCCAUCGCAGCAAAAUCAACCAAGGACCUCCCUACACUAACCACUCCCCUACUGCCCUUGCCCCUUUCGAGUAAGGUAGUCCUCCACUAGCUUUCCUAAUUAAUCAGCCAAGGGCGUCCAUAAACCCUUGUGGUGGCACGUGUUUCUCAAGUUAAGCUCUAUGUUCCAAUUAACAUUAAUGAUCUUAACAUGAACAUAAAUAGAAUAACAAAAUAACUGGAACAUAGACAUGAUAAAUAAUUAUCCCAAAUCCAUGUAAAGCAAUAGCAAACUACCCAAGUGAUUCAGGGGUAAACAAGGUAAUGAGAUAAACAAUCUAGGGUAACCUAUUGGGUCCCAUCAAAAUUAACAUAUGCAUGAAUAAAUGAUAUUAAAGAACAUUAUUGGGUAACAAAAGUGAAUCAAGGGCACAACUUGUCUGGGACUUGAGAUUUCAGGUACCAGGAUGAUCUUCAGGUGACUCGUGACCUCACGCUAGUCGUAGCAAUACAAAAAAACAGUGUAUAGACAAAAUUAACAUUACACCAAACAUAAGUACAAACUGAAUAAUAAUAAUCUACGUGUCGCUACGAGACUAACGCAACUUGAACGGAUCAAAUCGGAGUUAAAACGAAGCAUUUACGAAUUUCCUAAGGUUUUAUGUAUUUGAUACGAGAUUAAUUAAGAGAUAAAUUUUAAUACAGCUUUCAUGUCAAACCAGAGGUACUAUGUGAUAAACAAUAAUAUUAUAGAAUUAUAGGAAUUGGAAUGAAUCAAUUUGGACAUCAUAUGAAUUUUCUAUGAUUAAUACAAGUUCUAGCAUUUAGUUUUACACUAAAAAUCCAUUUCUAAUCUAAUUUCUCUGAUUUUCCAACUUUCUGGACUAGGCCUCAAUUACCUGAAAAGGCAGGGGCAUCGGGGUAACAUUUCUAAGACACAGGAAACAGUAGCCAUGGACUGCGGGUUCUAAUUUGCCUAAACCGAGGGGUUCUAGUGAAAUUGGGCCCGCGAAGGGGUAUCGUGAGAUUCUGGCCGUUCGAUCAGAAACUACAGGCUCCGAUUAGAUCACAAUUUUCUCCAAGCGGUACACCUCGCUAGCCGCCAGAUCUCGCAUCGACGGUUCUGAUUCCCUGAAACACUCGUCGCCCCGAACUCUAAUCCCAGUCGCCCAACUAAGAUCCAAUGGUUACAAACAUCUCCCCUUUCCCUACCAUCCGAGGCUGCUCACCCAGGAAUCAACGGCUAACACGCCGUCUUCUCCACGGCGCUAUCCGCCGCUGCGCACACCAGGCAGGCACAGCCCCGCCCACGGCCGCAGACGCCCCCACCGAUGCGCGCAGUAAUCACGCCACCACGUCAGACCUAGGUCGAGCGAUGGUGAUACCACGCCCCGCUACGCCGAGCCGAACGCCAACCCAGAUUAAGUCUAGCCGCUAAGGUGAGCUACGCCAGGAAGAAGAAUAAGGCGAGAACGUGGGGGUGUUCCUUACCGAGGGAUUGCGCGACGCAGGAGACCACAGCCGAAGUCUUACGGCCCGACGAUGCCGAUGUGGAUCCACCACGGCGGCCGCAUGCUCUACCCCUACUACGACGGCGACUCUAUUUGUCGAUGUGGAGGGUCACUGAUUGUCGCAUCCAAGGUAUGCGGCGGCCGUUCUUUUUAUAUCCCGAACGCGAGGCCGAGGACCCAGUCAAAUCCCACCGACCCGCCGAAAUCGCGGAUUCUGUUAGGCUUCGGUGCUCGUUUCAACGAGGAAGACGCCUGGAAUGCCAGACCCACCACGCAGCAACCCAAAGCGAGGCAAGCGUGCGUCCAAGGCAGCCAGGUGGGACCCACCGGUCGGUCCUAGGCGCACAGCGCGCAGCUCCCCUGGCGGAGGUUGAGCAGCACGUAGAUGCAUCCCUGGUCCAUAACUCCAUACGGUUCAGAAUACGGAGCAAUACUCGGGCCUAGUCAUCAGUGGUACAAUCGCACCUAGAGAUGAGGUCACUACUAACGUCGGCAUGACCUCACCACUCAUGAAUACAUUAAACAAUUCCGGCAGCUCGUCAAUUGUGUGCGCAAGCAUGUGGUUUCCAGCCCAGGUCUGUUGGGUGAGCCGAGCCAGAGCUCCAUGGCCCAGGUAACGUGUUUCUUUUUUUUAUUUCUAUUUUUUUGUUGUUUUCUAAUUUAAAUCUCUAAAUUCGAAUUUGUGAUUCAAACUUAGAGUCAAAGUCAUCAUGCCCAAUCAAAAUAUCCAGCAUGCUGCAAAGUUUUUAUUUUUAUUUUAAUUAUAUAUAUAUACUCAUUGCUUUAUUCAUUUUAAACAACUACUUCCAAGUGUAUAUUUUAUACCCACCAAAUAUAUGUUGUAAUAAAAUAAUUUCUAUUGCACAAAUUUAUUGAUAGUUAUUUCAGAUACAUUUCUAAAUAUUUUAUCUAAAAAGAAUAACUUAAUUUUAUAUUGAUUUUUUUCGUAUUAUUCUAUUAGAAAUCCCUAGUAAUAUUUUUGAUUGCUACAAAUUCUACUUUUCAAACUUAAACUUGUCUUAAAAUUUUGAGUACAAAGGUAAACAUGUAAGAACUCCAUCAUGAGGUGCAUAAUUCUAUAUCUAUUUAUUUUGUUAUUUGGUCAAUAUAAUUAUAUUAUUUGAAUAUGCACACAUAGAAGAAACUCAAUUAAUCUCCCAAGGUUCCAUAAAUUCCUCAAGACAUUAACUUAUACUAUAUUUAUUUAUUUAUUUAUAUCCUUAUUUUUUGUUGAUACAAAUUUUGGGCUCUACAAAUCCUACCCCCUUAAAAAGAAUCUCGUCUCCGAGAUUUGUAAGUAAAGGGAUACAAUAGGUUUGGUCUAGAAUUUUAGUUUCUCAUUUGGUUUUGGGAAUCAAAGUUUUGUUCAAGUUUUUACAUAUGAAUAUUGUAUGUCUAGACAUUUAUUAGGUCAGAUGAGGUACGGUUAUGGCAAGUAGAGGCUGUGGCAAGGGUAUAAUAAGGAAAGACUUCAUCCUGAACUCUGGAUCUUGAUUCCUCUCGCGAUCUAACUUGAUCUUUGAAGACUUGAGUUGAUGCUUAUCUUCCUUUGACGUGGUUGGUCUUCUUUGGCCUUUAUUCUUGGAGUUAUCAUCCGAGUUAAUGACAUAUGGUUAAGAUAGUUGUCGGUGCUUGGAUGGGUAGGCCCAACAAGUUUUACUUUGCUUUUGGGAUAAAUGGGUUGGGCAACCUAUAACAUAGGCUAGGUUGUGGUUUCACGGACGAGUUGGUCUAAGACACCAAUUCAGGUUUAGCACCCAUUUAUAGGAAUAUAAUCUAAUCUAUGUUUCCAGUAUUAACUAGCUUGUUUAAGUAACUUAGAUUAUAGUAGUUCAACUUAAGGUUAGACUUCGUUAGGUUGGAUUAAUCUAUCACAUCGGAUCAGAUCUAGGUUAGAUUGUUAUGACUAGAUAGACUAGAUAAAAUCUCAUUAAUUAGAUCCUGGUUGUUACUUUAGGAUGAGAUAAGUAGAGUGGUUAGGAUAAGAUGAUUCCUUCAAGAUAAGAUGAAUCUAUUGGGAUAAGAGAGAAUCUUUUAAGAUAAAUGGAUCUAUAUGAAAUAGAUACACUUUAAUGGAGGAUAAUCUAGGUUGUUUAGUUAUCUCAUGAAUUUUAUUCAUUUAUAUUUAUGCCUAUAUGUAUAUGUAGAUGUAAUUGUGGAUAUUACUCCACAACUCAUCACACUCAAUCAAAGAUCCAAAUCAGACAAGUAUCAUAAGAACAAGCAUUCAAACACAUAGAUACCUAUAAAAAUAGUUUUGUUUUUGUUCCUAAGAUUAGGUCUCCUAGUCCUAAGAGUCACUUUAGGUACAGGAUUUCAAAGUGUGAAAUCCACAUUUGUCUUUAGAAAGAAAAGAUAAGAAUAAUCAGAGUAAGCGGAAUUAGAUGAGAAAAGAUUAAGAAAAGUUUAGAAAGAAUCAGAGUAGCAAAGGUAAGUAAGUAUUUGUUGUCCAGUUCUGUCUAGGUUUCGUCCUACAGUCAACAUUGCUCUGAUACCACUUCUGUCACACUCGGGUUUCGGGGCACCAAGACCCGGGCGCGAACAUAAUCACCAGGUGUGCUGGGACCAGGUCUCACACAUAUGAUGAAUCAUGGCACAGGAUCGAAUGUCACAACUUUACUAUAUAAUAGGAAUUCUAUACAAAAUAAAUAAUUACAUAUAAGGAGACAACGGUCCAGCAACCCAAAGUUGACUGGGAGACGACGACCUAGACCUCUCACGAACACAUCACAUCAUCCUCCAAGCGCCUCAUCCAGCGGUACCUGUUCUUGACCUGUGGGGGGUGUGAGACAGCAAGAGUGAGCUCACAUACGUUCAUCGCUCAACAAGUUGUGGGGAAUAAUGUGCAUGAACUCGCCAAAGGUGGGAGCUCACGUGAAGUGUAAGGCUUACCAAAGAGGAUGGUUAGAGCUGAGCGUUGCUUUUAAAGUUGGUCAAAAUUUUAUUAGCAAUUACUAAGUAUAAGUAAAUACCAACCCAAUUAAGUAGUAGAACAAAAGUAACAACAUCACCUGCGAUGCAAUGCAUAUGACAAAUUGAAUUUAAGUUUCAUAAUUUAAUCAUCAGAGAGUCCUGAGCUGCUCAUGACCGUGAGCUCGGCUAGUAUACCAGUUUUACACUCUGCAGAGGUGGUACCCUUUACCCACAAGUCAUGUUACCCAUCUGCCAAGGGAUCGCGACUUCCCAUACACCUCUACCGAGGAGGCGAGGCAGGGUAACACUACGAGGCCUUUACAAAGUUCCACUAGCUUUAGAAAACCCGCUACAGUUUAUAGGAAGCUCCAAUGCAGGGUUCUUGCCUGACCGCCAUCGCAGCAAAAUCAACCAAGGACCUCCCUACACUGACCACUCCCCUACUGCCCUUGCCCCUUUCGGGUAAGGUAGUCCUCCACUAGCUUUCCUAAUUAAUCAGCCAAGGGCGUCCAUAAACCCUUGUGGUGGCACAUGUUUCUCAAGUUAAGCUCUAUGUUCCAAUUAACAUUAAUGAUCUUGACAUGAGCAUAAAUAGAAUAACAAAAUAACUGAAACAUAGAUAUGAUAAAUAAUUAUCCCAAAUCCAUAUAAAGCAAUAGCAAACUACCCAAGUGAUUCAGGGGUAAACAAGGUAAUGAGAUAAACAAUCUAGGGUAACCUAUUGGGUCCCAUCAAAAUUAACCUAUGCAUGAAUAAAUGAUAUUAAAGAACAUUAUUGGGUAACAAAAGUGAAUCAAGGGCACAACUUGCCUGGGACUUGAGAUUCCAGGUACCAGGAUGAUCUUCAGGUGACUCGUGACCUCACGCUAGUCGUAGCAAUACAAACAAACAGUGUAUAGACAAAAUUAACAUUACACCAAACAUAAGUACAAACUGAAUAAUAAUAAUCUACGCGUCGCUACGAGACUAACGCAACUUCAACGGAUCAAAUCGGAGUUAAAACGAAGCAGUUACGAAUUUCCUAAGGUUUUAUGUAUUUGAUACGAGAUUAAUUAAGAGAUAAAUUUUAAUACAGCUUUCAUGUCAAACCAGAGGUACUAUGUGAUAAACAAUAAUAUUAUAGAAUUAUAGGAAUUGGAAUGAAUCAAUUUGGACAUCAUAUGAAUUUUCUAUGAUUAAUACAAGUUCUAGCAUUUAGUUUUACACUAAAAAUCCAUUUCUAAUCUAUUUUCUCUGAUUUUCCAACUUUCUGGACUAGGCCUCAAUUACCCGAAAAGGCAGGGGCCUCGGGGUAACAUUUCUAAGACACAAGAAACAGUAGCCAUGGACUGCGGGUUCUAAUUUGCCUAAACCGAGGGGUUCCAGUGAAAUUGGGCCCGCGAAGGGGUAUCGUGAGAUUCUGGCCGUUCGAUCAGAAACUACAGGCUCCGAUUAGAUCGCAAUUUUCUCCAAGCGGUACACCUCGCUAGCCGCCGAAUCUCGCAUCGACGGUUCUGAUUCCCUGAAACACUCGUCGCCCCGAACUCUAAUCCCAGUCGCCCAACUAAGAUCCAAUGGUUACAAACAUCUCCCCUUUCCCUACCAUCCGAGACUGCUCACCUAGGAAUCAACGGCUAACACACCGUCUUCUCCACGGCGCUAUCCGCCGCUGCGCGCACCAGGCAGGCACAGCCCCACCCACGGCCGCAGACGCCCCCCACCGAUGCGCGCAGUAAUCACGCCACCACGUCAGACCUAGGUCGAGCGAUGGUGAUACCACGCCCCGCUACGCCGAGCCGAACGCCAGCCCAGAUUAAGUCUAGCCGCCAAGGUGAGCUACGCCAGGAAGAAGAAUAAGGCGAGAACGUGGGGGUGUUCCCUACCGAGGGAUUGCGCGACGCAGGAGACCACAGCCGAAGUCUUGCGGCCCGACGAUGCCGACGUGGAUCCACCACGGCGGCCGCAUGCUCUACCCCUGCUACGACGGCGACUCUAUUUGUCGAUGUGGAGGGUCACUGAUUGUCGCAUCCAAGGUAUGCGGCGGCCGUUCUUUUUAUAUCCCGAACGCGAGGCCGAGGACCCAGUCAAAUCCCACCGACCCGCCGAAAUCGCGGAUUCUGUUAGGCUUCGGUGCUCGUUUCAACGAGGAAGACGC
rnacentral:lncRNA from 1 species